rnacentral:lncRNA from 1 species
GUUGGAAUGAAACCAAAUAUAGUAUCUGAUACCUAUCUCACAAAAGUUAUCUGUACAAAAAGAAUGAAUCAAAAUAGAAAGCAAGGAAUAGUUUGCAUGGGGGAGCAGUUGCUGCAAUAAGCAACCAAUUUACAGUAAUUCAGUGUAUAAAUUAUCCAAGUAAAAAAAAAGCCAAAAACAAAUGGUCCUAUUUUUUAAAUUUUCUUUCUUGGUUUAUCCUUAAUGUCAGGCCUCUGAGCCCAAGCUAAGCCAUCAUGUCCCCUGUGACCUGCACAUACACAUCCAGAUGUCUGGUUCCUGCCUUAACUGAUGAUAUUCCACCACAAAAGAAGUGAAAAUGGCCUGUUCCUGCCUUAACUGAUGACAUUGUCUUGUGAAAUUCCUUCUCCUGGCUCAUCUGGCUCAAAAGCUCCCCUACUGAGCACCUUGGGACCCCCACUCUGCCCACCAGAGAACAACCCCCCUUUGACUGUAAUUUUCCUUUAUCUACCCAAAUCCUAUAAAACGGCCCCACCCGUAUCUCCCUUCUCUGACUCUCUUUUCGGACUCAGCCCACCUGCACCCAGGUGAAAUAAACAGCCUUGUUGCUCACACAAAGCCUGUUUGGUGGUCUCUUCACACAGACACACAUGAAAUUUGGUGCCAUGACUCGGAUUGGGGGACCUCCCUUGGAAGAUCAAUCCCCUGUCCUCCUGUUUUUUGCUCCAUGAGAAAGAUGCACCUAUGACCUCAGGUCCUCAGACUGACCGGCCCAAGAAACACCUCACCAAUUGCAAAUCUGGUAAGCAGCCUCUUUUUACUCUCUUCUCCAACCUCCCUUACUAUCCCUCAACCUCUUUCUCCUUUCAAUCUUGGUGCCACACUUCAAUCUCUCCCUUCUCUUAAUUUCAAUUCCUUUCAUUUUCUGGUAGAGACAAAUGAGACACAUUUUAUCGGUGGACCCAAAACUCCAGCGCCGGUCACGGACUGGGAAGGCAGCCUUCCCUUGGUGUUUAAUCAUUGCAGGGAUGCCUCUCUGAUUAUUCACCCACAUUUCAGAGGUGUCAGACCAUGCAGGGACACCUGUCUUGGUCCUUCACCCUUAGCAGCAAGUCCUGCUUUUCUGGGGAAGGGGAAAGUACCCCAACCCCUUCUUUCCAUGUCUUUACCCCUUCUCUGCUUUUCUGGGGGAGGGGCAAGAACCCCUCAACCCCUUCUCCUUCACCCUUAGCAAGUCCUGCUUUUCUAGGGGGCAAGAACACCCAAUCCCUUAUUUCUGCACCUCAACCUCUUAUCUCUGCACCCCAAUCCAUUAUUUCCACUCCCCAGCCUCUUAUCUCUGUGCCCUAACCCCUUCUGUGCCCCGAACCCUUUCUCACUUUUCUGGAGGGUAAGAACCCCCAAACCCCUUCCAUCCAUGCCUCUACUCCCUCUUUUCUCUGGGCUUGCCUCCUUCACUAUGGGCAACCUUCCACCCUCCAUUCCUCCUUCUCCCUUAGCCUGUGUUCUCAAGAACUUAAAAUCUCUUUAACUCACACCUCACCUAAAACCUAAAUGCCUUAUCUUCUUCUGCAACACUGCUUGGCCCCAGUACAAACUUGAAAAUGACUUUAAUGGCCAGAAAAUGGCACUUUCGAUUUCUCCAUCCUACAAGACCUAAAUAAUGUUUGUUGAAAAGUGGGCAAACGGUCUGAGGUGCCUGACGUCCAGGCAUUCUUUUGCACAUUGGUCCCUCCUUAGUCUCUGUGCCCAGUGCAACUCCUCCCAAAUCUUCCUUCUUUCCCUCCCACCUGUCCCCUCAGCCCCAACCCCAAGCGUUGCUGAGUCUUUCUAAUCUUCCUUUUCUACAGACCCAUCUGACCUCUCCCCUCCUCACCAGGCCAAGCUAGGUCCCAAUUCUUCCUCAGCCUCUGCUCCUCCACCCUAUAAUCCUUUUAUCACCUCCCCUCCUCACACCCAGUCCAGCUUACAGUUUUGUUCCGUGACUAGCCCUCUCCCACCUGCCCAGCAAUUUACCCUUAAAAAGGUGGCUGGAGCUAAAGGCAUAGUCAAGGUUAAUGUUCCUUUUUCUUUAUCCCAAAUCAGAUAGCAUUUAGGCUCUUUUACAUCAAAUAUAAAAAUCCAGCCCAGUUCAUGGCUCAUUUGGCAGCAACCCUGAGAUGCUUUACAGCCCUAGACCCUAAAAGGUCAAAAGGCUGUCUUAUUCUCAAUAUACAUUUUAUUACCCAAUCUGCUCCCAACAUUAAAUAAAAUGCCAAAAAUUAAAUUCCAGCCCUCAAACCCCACAACAGGACUUAAUUAACCUCACCUUCAAGGUGUACAAUAAUAGAGUAGAGGCAGCCAAGUAGCAACAUAUUUCUGAGUUGCAAUUCCUUGCCUCCACUGAGACAAAUCCCAGCCUCAUCUCCACCACACAAGAACUUCCAAAUGCCUGAACCACAGCAGCCAGGCAUUUCUCCAGAACCACCUCCCCCAGGAGUUUGCUACAAGUGCCAGAAAUCUGGCCAUCAGGCCAAGGAAUGCCCGCAGCCUGGGAUUCCUCCUAAGCCAUGUCCCAUCUGUGCAGGACCCCAUUGAAAAUUGGACUGUUCGACUCACCUGGCAGCCACUCCCAGAGCCCCUGGAACUCUGGCCUAAGGCUCUCUGACUGACUCCUUCCCAGAUCUUCUCGGUUUAGCGGCUGAAGACUGACACUGCUGGAUUGCCUCAGAAGCCCCGUAGACCAUCAUGGAUGCCGAGCCUUAAGUAACUCUCACAGUGGAGGAUUCAAGAGAAUCAAAAUAUACUGCAUGAAAACAACCAAUUAAACAAAGAAGUUGUGAGAACACUGUAUUCCAAGAAAGAACUACUAACUGUAAUGGAGUCUGAUUUCAAGCAUCGAGUCUAUUUCCAGGCACCCAGUGACCAGGGCUGACAACUUGCCCCAGACCACCAGCCUCCCCACUGAGAAAGCAAGAGGACUCACAGUUCUUCAGCAUCUCAGGGAGCCUACAGUGGCAAUCCAGUUUCUUCAAAGCAUCUGUGGAUUCUCUCAGCUUUCCUGGAUAAGGGAAGAGAAAUGAAGAGAAGUUGUGAAAUUGAAUUGAGCUAAAUAUCGUUAGAGAUUCUGGAACGGGAUUCUAUGAAGGUGAUGACUGCACAGUAGCUCCCUUCCCUCCAUUACCUACUUAUUUGUGUCAGUGUCUCCUCCCUGUGUUCCUAAGAACUCUUUCCUGAAAUUCUUAGGCCCACUGUUGCCUGUGUGUAUGUGAGAUGUUGGUUUGGACAACAAAUGCAGAGCCAUGUAUCAUUUGGGCUUGAUCAUCUUUGUAAGCCAGGACUUGCAUAGCACAGAUAACAAGAACUUGACCUUCAUGCCCCUCUGUCUAGGAGAGUCCUAGUAGAUUUGGGUGUUAAAAAUCUUCCUCCAACUGCCUCAGAAGGAGACAGGUGACUCCCCUGCUUUUAUUCUACAGUCCUCUCAGAAUACCUACCAAUGUCUUAUAAUGACCCGCACAGUUUGGCAGUUCAGACCUCAUCUCUCAUUCUCUCUAAUUUCUUGCUUUUACUCUAGCCACACUGGCCUUGUUUUGUUUUGCGAACAUCUGCGGCAUACUCCCACCUCAAGAUCUUGGCAAAUGUUACAUCCUCUGAUUGGAAUGCUCUUCCCAGAUGGCCACAAGUUUUGCUCUCUGAUCUUCCUCAAAUUUUUCCUUAAAUAUAAAACUUUUUCCUGAUCAUUCUACUUAAAAUUUCAACCCCACAGUGUUUUCCUAGUUUCUUGUCUUUUACCUAAUGCACUUAUAACUUUUUAAAAUACUUUUACAGAUUGGUUUGUCGAAUGCUAUAUAUAUUAUUUCUUUAAAAUUUGUUUGCCUACAAAUGUAUUUAUUAAAUUUGUCUUCUGCCUCCCCCAAGGAAUACAAGCUUCAAUAGUUCUAAAAAAGUAAACAUAAAAUAAAAUAAAAUAAAAAUAAAAAUUCAUGCACUGGAAAGACAAAUUUAGAAUUUAAGAAUAAACUUAAAAAUAAAGAUAUUCAUGAGAAAGUGACAUUUUAAUGAAUGUUGGAAAUGUAACCAAUGCUUUUGAAUAGGAUCACUAAAGAUAAAGUGAACUCAUUCAAAUUUAACGUAUUAAUUUAAUACAUAAUAAUCCCAGCAUUUAAAGAAUUAUCUAAAAUUAUAUUCAAAUUAUGGGAGAAAUAAGUUCCCCCACAUAGGCAAGGAAAAUAUUGAAAAUAUAAUUUAAAUUAUAAUUCAAAGUAAUGGAAUCUGAAUAUUUUCCACAUCAGUGAUCCUGCACAAGUGAUUUUUCCAGUCCAUUUCCAUGAGUAAUGCAGUCCAUUUGAUUAGCUUUCAAAGUGUAGCUUCUCAAUGCUUUAGACUCACAAAUACAUGACAAGUGUUAAAAAGGUUUGCUAAUCUAUUUUAUAGUCUUCUCUUGUUCAACCCACAAUGUAAUUUUUUCAAUCAUAAUUAUACAGUGGUGUGUUGUGAAUUUGAAGAACAAAGAUUCAAAAUAUUUUGCAUUUUAGAAAUUGUCUGUAGGUUAUAGAAAUAAAGAGUAAAAAUAAUAGAAUAUUUUAAGAUGUUUGAUUAUUUCCAGUGAAGAUGUAGAAUUUGAUUCUAUUUUUAAAUUUUUUUUUAGAAUUACCAUGUGUUACAUGUGAGUUUAUUGCUAUCUGAAUUGUUACAAAGAAAGAAUCUCUGUCCAUUUUCUGUUUAUUAAAUUUAGAAUGUUAAAUGUUUUUCUUAGUAUCCCUAUCCCAUCAAUUUUUUUUUCAUUCAUAAUGUGUAUUACUUUGGGUUCUCCAGAGAAACAAAACGAAUAGCAUAAGUAGAUAGAUAGCUAUAGAAAGAUAGCUAUACAAAUAUAUCUACCUUUAGUUUAGUCUAUCUUUAGUUUAUCUUUAGUCUCUCAGUUUCUAAGUUUUCCAUAUGCUUAGGAAAUCCUCAGAAUUAGGGCACAUGGUGAGACUUAUAGUUAUUGUUUAACAUUUUUCUGCAGCAAGGAAAAAGAAAGGAGAAAUUUGGGGUUCUGAGAAUAGACAAAUAAAGGUGGGUACUCAAGGAGGUGUGGAAUCCAGGUGGCAGCUGUUUCUUCUCCAUUCAGAUUAUCUUGGUUACUUGAACAUACAAAUGACAAAACUGGCACUUUGCCACUGAAAGUUUAAUUUAUCUUGAAUGUUAGCAUAAUUUUAGAAUUUAUUAUACUACAAGAAAAGAAAAAGCAUGCGACGUGUUUUGUUUUCUUUUCCUAUGACCUUCAGGCGGUCAACUACUUUAUUAUGUAAACCUAUGCUAAACUAUCCAAUUGCCUCCCACUGCCUGGUAAUUUUUGUAAAUUUAGAAAUAAUUAUAUAUUUUCAGAAAAGUUGCAAGAAUAGUACAAAAAAUUUUCACACAAUUGUCACCUAUAUUCCCCUAUUUUUUCACAUUUGCUUUAUUACUCCCUUUAAUAUAUACAUAUAUACAUAUGAAAUAAUAAUUUUAAAUUGCAAACAUGGUAUUGCUGUACUCCUAAAUACUUCAGUGUGCAUUAUCUCCAUAAGGAACAUUCCCUUAAUAUUACCACAAUUAACAUAACAGGACAUUAACAUUGAUACAAUAUUUUACACAAUCAAUUGCUCCUUUCUGAUUCCUUGGUUUAUAAUUUCCUUUUAAACAUUAGGACACACAUACUAUGAGGCAAUUUUUUUUGUUGUUUUCGCUUUAAUAAGCACCAAAUGUUAUUUUGAUUAGAUUAAAAUAGAUCUAUGUCAUGGUUUUUAUUCUUACAUAAUACUACACUAUGAAUUCACCAAAAUUGGCCAAUAUGAUCUUCAAAAUUUUGUGGAGAAAAUGUCCAAGAAUAUGCAAGCAAAAUAGUAGAAUAUAAUUAAAAUUAUAGUUUUUCUGCAACAGAGUCAUAUGAGAUAGCCCAUCUUCAUUGGUAAACAUUUUUAUGAGUGCCAUUAAUCUCUACCUCUCUUGUAAAUCCACUCAUUACACUGUAUUGUUACUACACAUUUAUGCAUCUUCAAAUCCCACUAGACUGUUAGACUGCAAAAUUAGUACAGGCAGAAACUGUGCCUCCUUCGUUAACUAAUGCAUUGUGGAUACUGAAUCAACUGGUUGAAUGAAUAAGUGAAUAGUAAGUAUGACAUAGAAGCGAAUCUAGCUGCUACCUUGUUAUGAAAUCAAAGGCCAUCAGGAGUAAUCCUCCUUACUCUCCUGUUUGACCUACCCAAACUGUUAUCAACAUGUAUGUCUAUACUAACUUUUCUUCUAAUUGCAGAAGAGUAGGUGUGCCCUCCUCAUGUCUCCUGCUUCUUAUUCCAUCCUUAGGUUCCAGGCUCUUGCUCUGUUGGUCAUACAUAGUAUUCCUCUCCUAUGUCUUCAACUAUUUUUUCUUUUUUUUUUUUGUUUUUUUCUUGCCCAUAUCAAAAAUGUAGACUUUGCUCUCCCAUCAAAUAAAGCCAUCUCUUUUUUCUACUCCCUGUAGCCACCAUCUAGUCUCUUACUUCCCCUUUUCCUGCUGAGCUUCCUAAAAGCAUAGCUUGUUAUAUAUUUCUGUUAUCUCCCAUUUAUUUCUCAACUACCCUUGAUCUAGAUUCAUUUCUUAAUACUUCUAAAGGUAGUUCUGGCUUAAACAAUGGCAUGUGUAUUUUCAUAUUUUGUGGACACGAUUCCAUCUUGAUUGACCCUCUGCUCCCUGACAUCAUUCUCUCUGGUUUCUAUACUUUGGAAUUUAGUUGGAUUUAAUGUUUCUUGAAUGGACAAAUCCAUUUCCUGCAUAUAUUUUACUAGAAUUGAGUAGUCACCUAGAGAAUGCCAUGUAGAUGACAGCAGAACAGGCCAAGACAUAUUGCUUGUUCCAUUUUUCUUCAUUUCAUCUUGAUAUGGUUUGGCUUUGGCUCUGUGUUCCCACCCAAAUCUCAUCCCGAAUCCCCAUGUGUUGAAGGAGGGACCUGGUGGGAGGUGACUGGAUCACAGGAGCUUUUUCCUUAACACUGUUCUCAUGACAGUGAGUGAGUUCUCACGAGAUCUGAUGGUUAAAAGUGUGGCACUUCCCCUAAUUCUCUCUCUCUCUCCUGCUGCUAUGUAAUAUGUGCCUUGCUUCCCCUUUGCCUUCUGCCAUGAUUGUUUCACCCUCAUGGGGGGCCUCCCCUGCCAUGAGGAGCUGUGAGUUAAACUUCUUUUUUUUUUAAUAAAUUACUCAGUCUCAGGUAGUUCUUUACAGCAGUGUGAAAAUGGACUAAUACACACCUCAUUUUACUUUUAUUAAGAUAAAGAACAUUUUAAAAUGCAUUCUGAAAACUCAUUAACAGCACACUGAGUGAAUCAUUGUUAAAUUAAAUGUUUCUAUGUCAAUUUAUCUGGUAAUUUUCUCUUCAUUACUAUGAUAGCCAUCCAAAGAUAAGGUUCCUUUUUAUUUAACAUGAGGAAGGCGCCAACAAAAUUAUAAUGCUUUGGGACACAGAAAAAUUUAUGAGAAAUGUUACCGUGUAUACUGCAAAAUAAGACUGAGCUUCACCCAUGAGCUGAUGAAAUCCAUUAUAUAGUAUUUUCAUUUUGAAUAUUUCUUGUUUUCUGAAGGUCUGAAUAAAUCUUAAAUUGAGUAAAUCAGGAGGUACUAAGCUUCAUGGUGGUUAAGAAAAGAGGGAAGAAGUAUUUAAGUCUACAAAAUGUAUGUGUUUAAAAUAAUUAUAAAUGAUAUUUUAUAGAGAAUAAUUUGAAGAAAAUAUAAUGAUCUUAUCACUAAAUUCAUAAAAGUAUAAAUUGUGGAUUAUGUUUUUAUAUUUUUGAU